rnacentral:rRNA from 1 species
UCAAACGUCCAUCCCGCGUUGAAUAUACCGGUUCUCAUCCGAUCACCGAAGUUAAGCAAAGUCGCGCGCAGACAGUACUUGGAUGGGCGACCGUCUGGAUAUACCGCGUAUUUCAA